rnacentral:rRNA from 1 species
AGAGUUUGAUCCUGGCUCAGAUUGAACGCUGGCGGCAUGCUUUACACAUGCAAGUCGAACGGCAGCACGGGCUUCGGCCUGGUGGCGAGUGGCGAACGGGUGAGUAAUGCGUCGGAACGCGCCGAGUAGUGGGGGAUAACGCAGCGAAAGCUGUGCUAAUACCGCAUACGUACUGAGGUAGAAAGUGGGGGGCCUUCGGGCCUCACGCUAUUCGAGCGGCCGACGUCUGAUUAGCUAGUUGGUGGGGUAAAGGCUCACCAAGGCGACGAUCAGUAGCGGGUCUGAGAGGAUGAUUCGCCACACUGGGACUGAGACACGGCCCAGACUCCUACGGGAGGCAGCAGUGGGGAAUUUUGGACAAUGGGCGCAAGCCUGAUCCAGCCAUGCCGCGUGUCUGAAGAAGGCCUU